rnacentral:rRNA from 1 species
UAGGGAAUCUUCCACAAUGGACGCAAGUCUGAUGGAGCAACGCCGCGAGAGUGAAGAAGGUUUUCGGAUCGUAAAGCUCUGUUGUUGGUGUAGAAGGAUAGAGGCAGUAACUGGUCUUUAUUUGACGGUAAUCAACCAGAAAGUCACGGCUAACUACGUGCCAGCAGUCGCUGUAAUACGUAGGUGGCAAGAGUUGUCCGGAUUUAUUGGGCGUAAAGCGAGCGCAGGCGGAAUGAUAAGUCUGAUGUGAAAGCCCACGGCUCAACCGUGGAACUGCAUCCGAAACUGUCAUUCUUGUGUGCAGUAGAGGAGAGUGGAAUUCCAUGUGUAGCGGUGGAAUGCGAAGAUAUAUAGAAGAACACCAGUGUCGAAGGCAGCUCUCAAGUCAGCAAAUGACGCUGAUGCUCGAAAGCAUGGGUAGCGAACAGG